GUUAUCCUGCAGACCUUUGACUUUUGUCCGAACUUUUUCUUUCAGAUGCAGGAGGAUAAAGUCCAGGGCAGAGCACCCCAUCCCGGGUGAGGGGAUUGCCCUGAGCAGGAAGUCAAGGCAGAGGGCAGCCGUCAAGGCUGAGUGGGCAAGGUGGUCCACUUACAAUCUAUCCUGGCUAAGCAUGACCAUGCCAGGUGCUGUCGCUGCCCUAGGCACGCCAAGGAAC